rnacentral:misc_RNA from 1 species
GAUGAAGAACGCAGCGAAAUGCGAUACUUGGUGUGAAUUGCAGAAUCCCGUGAACCAUCGAGUCUUUGAACGCAAGUUGCGCCCGAAGCCAUUAGGCCGAGGGCACGCCUGCCUGGGUGUCACACGUCGUUGCCCCCCCAUCUACUCCUUCGGGAUUGCGGGGGGCGGAUGAUGGCCUCCCGUGCGCCUCGCCGCGCGGUUGGCAUAAAUGCCAAGUCCUCGGCGACGCACGCCACGACAAUCGGUGGUUGCGAAACCUCGGUUGCCCGUCGUGUGCGGUCGUCGCGCAUCGAGGGCUCGAAAAAAUUGCCGGGCUCCGGCUCGGCUUUCAACGCGACCCCAGGUCAGGCGGGGUUACCCGCUGAAUUUAAGCAUAUCAAUAAGCGGAGGA